UUUCCGUAGGUGAACCUGCGGAAGGAUCAUUACAGAGUUCAUGCCCUCACGGGUAGAUCUCCCACCCUUGAAUAUUUAUACCUUAGUUACUUUGGCAGGCCGUGGAAACACCAUGGGCUCCGGCUUAUGCGUGCCUGCCAGAGGAAACAAACUCUGUUUUUAGUGAUGUCUGAGUACUAUAUAAUAGUUAAAACUUUCAACAACGGAUCUCUUGGUUCUG
rnacentral:misc_RNA from 1 species